GUUUUUUUUUAUUUGAGUUUUUCUGCAUAUUUAUGUGAUCUUUUUUCUUUUAAUUUGUGUUGGGAGACUGCGUAACCGGGAAUUCCAAGCGUUGAUGAGACUCGUCUUACAACAUUCAAUGCCCUGGGAACUACUUGUUACAUCCCUUGGGAUCCCAAUAAUUCACAUUUACUGCUUCAGACUAUUAAAGUAAUGCCAACAUGAACAAACUGAAGAAAAUGGUUCUGGUUGUAUAGACACCUCUGACAGUGCACCUUUGACAAUGCAAGGUAGGAAAAUAUGUGUGGUUGGCAUAUGAGGAAGCAUAUGAGUUAUCAAUUCAAAUUGGGUCAGCUACAAGGAGCUGUGAUGUUAGUUCGG